GACGAACGCUGGCGGCGUGCUUAACACAUGCAAGUCGAACGGAAAGGCCCUGCUUUUGUGGGGUGCUCGAGUGGCGAACGGGUGAGUAACACGUGAGUAACCUGCCCUUGACUUUGGGAUAACUUCAGGAAACUGGGGCUAAUACAGGAUAGGAGCUCCUGCUGCAUGGUGGGGGUUGGAAAGUUUCGGCGGUUGGGGAUGGACUAGCGGCUUAUCAGCUUGUUGGUGGGGUAGUGGCUUACCAAGGCUUUGACGGGUAGCCGGCCUGAGAGGGUGACCGGCCACAUUGGGACUGAGAGACGGCCCAGACUCCUACGGUAGGCAGCAGUGGGGAAUAUUGCACAAUGGGCGGAAGCCUGAUGCAGCAACGCCGCGUGCGGGAUGACGUCCUUCGGGUUGUAAACCGCUUUCGCCUGUGACGAAGCGUGAGUGACGGUAAUGGAUAAAGAAGCACCGGCUAACUACGUG
rnacentral:rRNA from 1 species